rnacentral:rRNA from 1 species
CGAAGAACCUUACCUGGUCUUGACAUACCCGGACGACCCUUAGGAAACUAGGGGGUGCUUCCAUCUGGAAGAAUCUGGAGACAGGUGCUGCAUGGCUGUCGUCAGCUCGUGUCGUGAGAUGUUGGGUUAAGUCCCGCAACGAGCGCAACCCUUGCCUUUAGUUGCCAGCAGUUCGGCUGGGCACUCUAAAGGGACUGCCGGUGUUAAACCGGAGGAAGGUGGGGAUGACGUCAAGUCCUCAUGGCCUUUAUGACCAGGGCUACACACGUACUACAAUGGCCGAUACAAAGGGCAGCGACACUGCGAGGUGAAGCCAAUCCCGUAAAAUCGGUCUCAGUCCGGAUUGGAGUCUGCAACUCGACUCCAUGAAGUUGGAAUCGCUAGUAAUCGUGGAUCAGCAUGCCACGGUGAAUACGUUCCCGGGCCUU